UCCAGACUCCUACGGGAGGCAGCAGUGGGGAAUAUUGCACCAUGGGGGAAACCCUGCUGCAGCGACGCCGCUUGAGUGACGCCGUAUUUCGGUAUUUCCCGCUCUAUCAGCCUUAACGAGACCCGCCGGUACCUGCCUCUUCAGCCCCGUCUCCCUACGUGCCCGCCGCCGCGGUAAUCCGUCGGGGGCAACCUUCAUCCGGAUUUCCUGGGUGUAAAGGGAGCGUAGACGGCAGCGCAAGUCUGAAGUGAAAUCCCAGGGCGGAACCAUGGAACUGCUUUGGAAACUGUGCAGCUGGAGUGCAGGAGAGGGAAGCGGAAUUCCUAGUGUAGCGGUGAAAUGCGUAGAGAUGAGGAGGAACACCAGUGGCGAAGGCGGCUGACUGGACUGUAACUGACGUUGAGGCUCGAAAGCGUGGGGAGCAAACAGGAUUAGAUACCCCUGUAA
rnacentral:rRNA from 1 species